rnacentral:ribozyme from 1 species
UGCCCAGCAACUCCUAUCCCUACCUCCUCGUGGUACUGGCCGGACCUUGGGGAAGAUCGGGUAACCAAUUCCGGUGGGAACUCUCGACGUAUGCUGACAGGGAAGG